AUCCACUUCAUGUCCUUCUAUUCUUGAUUUUGAGUUUGUGAAUGUUCUUUUCUAAUCAAAACCUUGUAAGCAAAUAAAUUGUUUCAUUCUUUAAUAAGCCUUGGCAUUUCAACCCCAAAAUUAAUCAUUUACCUAAUCAUCUUUCAAGAAGUUUUAUUCUUUUAGAUGAACUUUUUAGUAUAUUUUUUUUUAAACUUCUUGCUAGUGAAACUUUGACUCUUUUGCCUCCCCCAAAGUCAUAAUUUAUUUUUUCUUUUUAUCCUAAAUAGUAU
rnacentral:lncRNA from 1 species